CCUACGGGAGGCAGCAGUGGGGAAUAUUGCACAAUGGGGGAAACCCUGAUGCAGCGACGCCGCGUGAGUGAAGAAGUAAUUCGUUAUGUAAAGCUCUAUCAGCAGGGAAGAAAAUGACGGUACCUGAGUAAGAAGCCCCGGCUAACUACGUGCCAGCAGCCGCGGUAAUACGUAGGGGGCAAGCGUUAUCCGGAUUUACUGGGUGGAAAGGGAGCGUAGACGGCAGUGCAAGUCUGGAGUGAAAGGCGGGGGCUCAACCCCCGGACGGCAUUGGAAACUGGCAGGCUGGAGUGCCGGAGAGGCAGGCGGAAUGCCUGGUGUAGCGGUGAAAUGCGUAGAUAUUAGGAGGAACACCAGUGGCGAAGGCGGCCUGCUGGACGGUGACUGACGCUGAGGCUCGAAAGCGUGGGGAGCAAACAGGAUUAGAUACCCGAGUAGUC
rnacentral:rRNA from 1 species